GCUGGAGCCUGGGUGACGCCACCGCGCCCCGACCAGACCCUCCGACCGGCUUCCUCCACCUACCUAUUCCGAAUCUACACAAGAAACGCUAUAGGAAACGCGGUAGAAGGAGCGGCCGUCGCGUUCGCCUCAGGGUCUACUUUAAAGCCAGCCACAGGCUACCCACAUGCCAGCCUGGAUAUUUAAUCUUCUUUCCCUCCCUCCAAGGAGCGCUCUGAUGCUAAGUUGCUCACCCACUGUUGGAUCUGCUCGGCUGACCACGAAGUCUACCCUGCCAUUCCUGUGGCAUGUUUUCCUGCUCAGGUUUGGAUAACAUCGCUCCGACGCGGCGUUUGCCGAAGCAACCUAAGUGUCCUACGACGCACCACCUGUGGCGACUUAGCCCCUAGGAUACGGAUGGCAUUGCUUAAUGUCAGGUCGCUGGUCAAUAAGACUUUUCUCUUAAAUGACUUCCUCUCCACUAAUGGGAUUGAUGCUUUAUUCCUGACUGAAACCUGGAUUCGUCCUGGAUUGCAGGAGGGCUGGAGCCUAUCCCAACUACCAUACCCGGAGAGAACCCACGCAAACACGGGGAACUCCACACAGAGAGGACCCGGCCAGGUGGUGGAAUCACACUCAGGAGCUUCUUGCUGUGAGCUAACAGUGGUAUGUGCUGUGAUAUAAAUCAAACAGACAGAUGUCUCUGGUGAGAUCAGCGGUUGGGCCCUCGCUGCUUUAACCCUUUAACCGAUUCCCACAGACGAGUUAGCAAGGACGCAUGCAGCAGGCUGGUAAAUGACAGUAUUCAGCUGUGUUAGGACCAGGGAUCUACCUCCACUCCAGCAUGUCUUCUAUCACUGGAACAGGAGAGGCAGACGAGAUUAUUUUUAAAGAAUCAUCUCCUUGCCUCACCUGCCUGCCUUCCUGCCCUUACACCACCACGGGAUCUUCACCGCUCAGGACAGCUGACACACACCACCAAACCCACCCGGACCGCACCAACUCUCCUUCAACGCUUCCAUCUCCCACCUGCACAUACAUACCUAAUCACCAGCCAGCUGCUGUUGCUUUCUUGGACCUGUCCCCUUUCUUUAUCCCUCUCCCCUGGCCAAGACCCUCACGCCCCAUGUGUCAAGCCUUAAGUCAAGUGUCAUAGUAAACAUCAUUCUUGUGCUAAUUAAUAAACCUUUGUUAAACCCUUUCC
ensembl:lncRNA